UCUUGAUGAAGUUAUCACAGGUUAUUGAUGAGAUGGUUACUCACCGUGUUCUCCUGUGUUUCCAUCCUGUGAGCUGUGGCAGAACAAGGAGAGCAGGAUGAAUGGGAUCAUGAUAUUCCUGGACACAGACUCAGAUUUCAAACAGAACAGAAAACAUCUGCUCAUCCAGCUGUGUCUUCGUGAAAGUCCACUUCCUGAGAGAUAGAGAAAAGCCAGUCACAGGGAAUCUGCUGCUGUGGAUCUCACACAGAAACAAGAAGUCACGUUACUUCCUCUAACAACACUCCCCUUCCUAAGAACUCGACUCUGGGCUAAUGAUGAGUCACUGCAAGUUUGGACAUGUAUGUUUAACUUGGAAAUGGAUUCACAAGAACGUCUUUCAGAUUCUCAGUGUGCUCCUCCUCCCGUCCUCAUGUUCACUCCUGAGGGAGCGACAGAGAAACAUCAGGAUCUGUGCAGCUUCUUCAAGACGUUCCUCAGUCACACGUUCCUAACUCAAAGCAUCAGAUGUUUUCUCCUCCUGCUCCUCAGCCUGGAGCCGCGAUGGGAAUCUUCUAGUACCAGAGCCUCCUGGCAGGCUGAAGCUGUGGACUCAUACCGGACCUCCUCAGGAGGUGAGGAGGAGAGGAGGAGAGGAGGAGUCAGCCUGAAGCUGUGGACUCAUACCGGACCUCCUCAGGAGUGCGUAUACAUGUCUCCGAUGGAACUGCAGUGGUGAAGAGGACGUGUCCACUGGGGAGAGGAGCUGGACGCUCAGAGCUCACAACAAGCUGGGGACGGUGGAACUGACGGACACAGCAGACCUGAUGACAAGAGUUCACAUGUGUCCUCCAGAGUCAGUGACAGCUUCCACUGUGAAUCCCAGAGACGCCCGUCUGAAGUGGAGCUGGAAGGUUCAAGCCUACAAAGAUCUGAACGUCACGUGUGAGGUGAACCUCGGUCCCGCUGGAGCUCAGAAAACAAACUCUGGAGUCGGACUUGAUUCGGCAGUUUUGAUGAACCUGAUUCCAAACUGGUCGUACCACGUGACAGUUCGAUGUCGCACAGCUCAACAUUCUUGGAAAUGGAGCAACUGGAGCUCGACAUUCAACUUCCACACUAACAUCUGAUGAUUAACAGUUCUUUGAAAGUAGAAGAUACUUCAGGCACAACUUUGUGAAAGAGCAACAUUAAAUCAGUAAAAGUUCACAAGCUGUAAAACAAAA